rnacentral:rRNA from 1 species
UACAGAGGUCCCCAAGCGUUGUUCGGAUUCACUGGGCGUAAAGGGUGCGUAGGUUGUUCUGUUAGUCUUUUGUUAAAUCCCCGAGCUUAACUUGGGAAUCGCGAAAGAAACGGCAGGACUUGAAAGUGUGUGAGGCGUACGGAACUCAUGGUGUAGGGGUGAAAUCCGUUGAUAUCAUGGGGAACACCAAAUGCGAAGGCAGUACGCUGGCGCAUAUUUGACACUGAAGCACGAAAGCGUGGGUAGCGAAUGGGAUUAGAUACCCCUGUAGU